AGCUCAGAGUAGGCGAAAUCAUCUGAUA
rnacentral:snRNA from 1 species